GAGGAUGAGCCCGCGUCUGAUUAGCUUGUUGGUGGGGUAAUGGCCUACCAAGGCGACGAUCAGUAGCUGGUCUGAGAGGAUGAUCAGCCACACUGGGACUGAGACACGGCCCAGACUCCUACGGGAGGCAGCAGUGGGGAAUUUUCCGCAAUGGGCGAAAGCCUGACGGAGCAACGCCGCGUGGGUGAUGAAGGCCCUUGGGUCGUAAAACCCUUUUGUCGGGGACGAUAAUGACGGUACCCGAUGAAUAAGCAUCGGCUAACUCUGUGCCAGCAGCCGCGGUAAUACAGAGGAUGCAAGCGUUAUCCGGAAUUAUUGGGCGUAAAGCGUACGUAGGCGGCUAUUCAAGUCUGGGGUUAAAGCCCGCAGCUCAACUGCGGAAAGGCCUCGGAAACUGGAUGGCUAGAGUGCGGUAGAGGCAAGGGGAAUUCCCGGUGUAGCGGUGAAAUGUGGAGAUAUCGGGAAGAACACCAGCGGCGAAAGCGCCUUGCUGGACCGCAACUGACGCUGAGGUACGAAAGCCAGGGGAGCAAAUGGGAUUAGAUACCCCAGUAGUCCUGGCCGUAAACGAUGGACACUAGGUGUUGCGCGUAUCGACCCGUGCAGUGCCGUAGCUAACGCGUUAAGUGUCCCGCCUGGGGAGUACGCACGCAAGUGUGAAACUCAAAGGAAUUGACGG
rnacentral:rRNA from 1 species